AGCAGCGUUGUCCUGAAACCUUCAUUACUUCGUGAAUUUUCUUCACAAAGUCAAAAAAGUAUAACAAAAACAACAACAAAAUAUGUUAAAGACAUGUUCUAGCACAAUUUUUGCUUUCUUUAUACUCGGUGGGUCAGAGUUAAGUUUGCGGACUUACGACGCUAAAACCAGAAGUUCCUUUCCCUGCGAUGGAAAGCGCGUAGAUAGUUCAUUGGGUAGCUUUACGCUAGAAACACAAAAAUGCCCCCUUCACACGCACACCAGUGGGUUAGGCGAUAAGCUUGAGAACUUAUAGUGCUAAAAUUAGAGAUUCGAUCUCUGUGCUGGACUCAAUACAAGCUAAACCAUAAAGGCAUUUUAAUUCAAUAUUUGUGACUUUUUAGUGAAAUAUUAACUAAUAUAGUUAUUAAAUAUCCUAUCAAACAGGAAACAAAUUGAAUUUGAAAUAACUGCUGCGCCACUAUUCAAUUUCACAUGGAACCGUCUCUCAGAUUACACCUACUUUGCCACUCAAAUGUUGCCAUGUCCUUUAGCUGGCCGAGUGAAUGAUGUCUUUAUGUCUUAGUUGACGAAUGCUGUGAGAAAGUGACCAGUCACGUGGUGUCGCCAUCGCCAAAGAAGAAUUACGAGUUUUUUGUUGUUUUUUUUUGGAAAAUGAAUGCAUUUAUUUUUCUCAGUUAUACUUGGCUUUCAUCUGUUCAGCAGAGAUUCGUCUUGAGGGACGGAAACCGACAUCUAUACAUUUAUCCAGUAGAAGCGAUCGUCCAUGUAUCUACGCAUGUGUUGUUGUGUCAUAAAUAAAGUUUGUUUUCACUUCCAAUCAAA